AAUCUGCCCUUGGGUUCGGAAUAACAGUGAGAAAUUACUGCUAAUACCGGAUGAUGACUUCGGUCCAAAGAUUUAUCGCCCAAGGAUGAGCCCGCGUAAGAUUAGCUAGUUGGUGAGGUAAAGGCUCACCAAGGCGACGAUNNNUANNNNNUCUGAGAGGAUGAUCAGCCACACUNNNACUGAGACACGGCCCAGACUCCUACGGGAGGCAGCAGUGGGGAAUAUUGGACAAUGGGCGAAAGCCUGAUCCAGCAAUGCCGCGUGAGUGAUGAAGGCCUUAGGGUUGUAAAGCUCUUUUACCAGGGAUGAUAACGACAGUACCUGGAGAAUAAGCUCCGGCUAACUCCGUGCCAGCAGCCGCGGUAAUACGGAGGGAGCUAGCGUUGUUCGGAAUUACUGGGCGUAAAGCGCACGUAGGCGGCCAUUCAAGUCAGAGGUGAAAGCCCGGGGCUCAACCCCGGAACUGCCUUUGAAACUAGAUGGCUUGAAUCUUGGAGAGGCGAGUGGAAUUCCGAGUGUAGAGGUGAAAUUCGUAGAUAUUCGGAAGAACACCAGUGGCGAAGGCGACUCGCUGGACAAGUAUUGACGCUGAGGUGUGAAAGCGUGNGGAGCAAACAGGAUUAGAUACCCUGGUAGUCCACGCCGU
rnacentral:rRNA from 1 species